rnacentral:rRNA from 1 species
UACGUAGGGGGCUAGCGUUGUCCGGAAUCAUUGGGCGUAAAGCGUGCGUAGGCGGUCCGCAAAGUCUGAUGUGAAAGCCCCGGGCUCAACCUGGGAACUGCAUUGGAAACUAACGGGCUCGAGUGUGGCAGAGGGGGGUGGAAUUCCACGUGUAGCAGUGAAAUGCGUAGAGAUGUGGAGGAACACCGAUGGCGAAGGCAGCCCCCUGGGCUAACACUGACGCUCAGGCACGAAAGCGUGGGGAGCAAACAGG